AUUGUUUCUUGGGAAUUGUCUGUAUCAGACAUCAUGGGAGCAGAUCCAGGGCGACAUCAAAAGGAAGCAUGAGUCUCCAGGACCAGAGGGGCUUGGAUGCAGAUGAUCAUCAUCUGGGCACUGCUGGAUACUGAGCUCUCUGACUGCCACCCCUGCCUGCCUGCCCGGCCCUGCACAACAUGCAGCCCUCCGGCCUCGAGGGUCCCGGCACGUUUGGUCGGUGGCCUCUGCUGAGUCUGCUGCUCCUGCUGCUGCUGCUCCAGCCUGUAACCUGCGCCUACACCACGCCAGGCUCCCCCAGAGCCCUCACCACGCUGGGCGCCCCCAGAGCCCACACCAUGCCGGGCACCUACGCUCCCUCGACCACACUCAGUAGUCCCAGCACCCAGGGCCUGCGAGAGCAGGCACGGGCCCUGAUGCGGGACUUCCCGCUCGUGGACGGUUCUGGUCAGCCUAUGUGCCAUGCCAGACCCAGGACCGGGAUGCCCUGCGCCUCACCCUGGAGCAGAUUGACCUCAUACGCCGCAUGUGUGCCUCCUAUUCUGAGCUGGAGCUUGUGACCUCGGCUAAAGGUAGGCAAGUUGAUGGGAAGCGUUAGGAACUUGAUUGAGCUACUCCAGCCCUGGAAAGUAAUCACCUGACCUACCUGCCCCCAGCUCUGAACGACACUCAGAAAUUGGCCUGCCUCAUCGGUGUAGAGGGUGGCCACUCGCUGGACAAUAGCCUCUCCAUCUUACGUACCUUCUACAUGCUGGGAGUGCGCUACCUGACGCUCACCCACACCUGCAACACACCCUGGUGAGCCUAGUGCAGAUGGUGUGGGACCGCUGAGGCAGGGGCAGAGAUCUGCCUGAGGUCACUGUGGGCCCAGAACAAGCUUUACCCAUGGGAUCUGGCACUGACUCUGGAGUGGGGAGGGGAGCUGGGAUUCUGGUUUUCAGAAUACGACUUGACCCCUGGCCAGACGCGGUGGCUCAUGCCUGUAAUCCCAAA
rnacentral:sRNA from 1 species